AUCCGGUUCACUUUAACACUGAGGCGUGACGACGAGGCACUACGGUGCUGAAGCAACAAAUGCCCUGCUUCCAGGAAAAGCCUCUAAGCAUCAGGUAACAUCAAAUCGUACCCCAAACCGACACAGGUGGUCAGGUAGAGAAUACCAAGGCGCUUGAGAGAACUCGGGUGAAGGAACUAGGCAAAAUGGUGCCGUAACUUCGGGAGAAGGCACGCUGACACGUAGGUGAAGUGAUUUACUCAUGGAGCUGAAGUCAGUCGAAGAUACCAGCUGGCUGCAACUGUUUAUUAAAAACACAGCACUGUGCAAACACGAAAGUGGACGUAUACGGUGUGACGCCUGCCCGGUGCCGGAAGGUUAAUUGAUGGGGUCAGCGCAAGCGAAGCUCCUGAUCGAAGCCCCGGUAAACGGCGGCCGUAACUAUAACGGUCCUAAGGUAGCGAAAUUCCUUGUCGGGUAAGUUCCGACCUGCACGAAUGGCGUAAUGAUGGCCAGGCUGUCUCCACCCGAGACUCAGUGAAAUUGAACUCGCUGUGAAGAUGCAGUGUACCCGCGGCAAGACGGAAAGACCCCGUGAACCUUUACUAUAGCUUGACACUGAACAUUGAGCCUUGAUGUGUAGGAUAGGUGGGAGGCUUUGAAGCGUGGACGCCAGUCUGCGUGGAGCCGACCUUGAAAUACCACCCUUUAAUGUUUGAUGUUCUAACGUGGACCCGUUACCCGGGUUGCGGACAGUGUCUGGUGGGUAGUUUGACUGGGGCGGUCUCCUCCUAAAGAGUAACGGAGGAGCACGAAGGUUGGCUAAUCCUGGUCGGACAUCAGGAGGUUAGUGCAAUGGCAUAAGCCAGCUUGACUGCGAGCGUGACGGCGCGAGCAGGUGCGAAAGCAGGUCAUAGUGAUCCGGUGGUUCUGAAUGGAAGGGCCAUCGCUCAACGGAUAAAAGGUACUCCGGGGAUAACAGGCUGAUACCGCCCAAGAGUUCAUAUCGACGGCGGUGUUUGGCACCUCGAUGUCGGCUCAUCACAUCCUGGGGCUGAAGUAGGUCCCAAGGGUAUGGCUGUUCGCCAUUUAAAGUGGUACGCGAGCUGGGUUUAGAACGUCGUGAGACAGUUCGGUCCCUAUCUGCCGUGGGCGCUGGAGAACUGAGGGGGGCUGCUCCUAGUACGAGAGGACCGGAGUGGACGCAUCACUGGUGUUCGGGUUGUCAUGCCAAUGGCACUGCCCGGUAGCUAAAUGCGGAAGAGAUAAGUGCUGAAAGCAUCUAAGCACGAAACUUGCCCCGA
rnacentral:rRNA from 2 species